GCCGGGGUAGCUCAGCUGGGAGAGCGCUCGGCUGAAGUCUCCCAGUAGAAACCGAGAGGUCCCGGGUUCAAAUCCCGGCCCCGGCA
rnacentral:tRNA from 1 species